ensembl:snRNA
GUAUUGUAUGAAAGGAGAGAAGGUUGGCAUUCCCUUUGACAAGGAUGGAAGAGGCAGGCCCUUGGGCCUGACAACAAGCAUUUAGUUAAGGCAUUGCCACCUACUUCGUGGCAUCUAACCAUUAUUU